AGGAGGUGGUGCUGAAAGAUGAUGGCUGUGAGAGGGAGAGUGGUCUUGCUGGGCAUGUUCCAAAUAGUAUACGUAAGGAACAAGACAAAGUCCAGGUGUUACUUUUCUUCCCUGGCUGCAGCAAGACCUCCCUUAAGUAACAUAACGAUAGCUAAUAAGAAGCAGACCAGUCCCACAAAGACAGCAGGAGCACCUAGUGGUGAAAAUGAUCAGACAUUGUGCAAGGACAAGCUACCAAUCCUCUGGUGGCUUAGUGAGGCCAAUGGAAGUUGAGGAGCAUUACAUAUUUGCUAGUGGUGCAGGUUUCUGAAGUUGAAAUUUAAAAAAAAAUCGGAGUUGGACUUUUCCAUCAAGAUUUUACCAAAAGAUCAUCAGUAUUUCUUUUUGAAUUUCAACUCUUCAAGCAAGCACCCUUUUCGGGUGCAAUCUUGAAAAUCAUUUAGUUAGAGGCACAAAUUCUCAGCUAUAUCAGAAGCACCUUUUGGUCAACUCUCUUGAAAGCUGCAGAGAGAUUGAAUACCCUUUUACACUCACAUGAACGGGUCUAAAAAUUGUUCUGCAAGGAGGAAUUCAUUGUAGAAUCAGGCCCAAAUA